UGUUAUGGCUGAGCAAAGAAAGUAGUUUCUUGAGAUAGAAUCUGCUCCUAGUGAAGAUGCUAUGAA
rnacentral:pre_miRNA from 1 species